UACGUAGGGGGCGAGCGUUGUCCGAAGUUACUGGGCGUAAAGCGCGCGUAGGCGGCUCUUUAAGUGACUGGUGAAAUCCCCGGGCUCAACCCGGGAGUGUCUGGUCAUACUGGGGAGCUAGAGUGUGGGAGGGGAGAGCGGAACUCCAGGUGUAGCGGUGAUAUGCGUAGAGGUCUGGAAGAACACCCGUGGCGAAGGCGGCUCUCUGGACCAUAACUGACGCUGAGGUGCG
rnacentral:rRNA from 1 species